rnacentral:rRNA from 1 species
UAGGGAAUCUUCGGCAAUGGACGGAAGUCUGACCGAGCAACGCCGCGUGAGUGAAGAAGGUUUUCGGAUCGUAAAGCUCUGUUGUAAGAGAAGAACGAGUGUGAGAGUGGAAAGUUCACACUGUGACGGUAUCUUACCAGAAAGGGACGGCUAACUACGUGCCAGCAGCCGCGGUAAUACGUAGGUCCCGAGCGUUGUCCGGAUUUAUUGGGCGUAAAGCGAGCGCAGGCGGUUAGAUAAGUCUGAAGUUAAAGGCUGUGGCUUAACCAUAGUACGCUUUGGAAACUGUUUAACUUGAGUGCAAGAGGGGAGAGUGGAAUUCCAUGUGUAGCGGUGAAAUGCGUAGAUAUAUGGAGGAACACCGGUGGCGAAAGCGGCUCUCUGGCUUGUAACUGGCGCUGAGGCUCGAAAGCGUGGGGAGCAAACAGGAUUAGAUACCCUGGUAGUCCACGCCGUAAACGAUGAGUGCUAGGUGUUAGACCCUUUCCGGGGUUUAGUGCCGCAGCUAACGCAUUAAGCACUCCGCCUGGGGAGUACGACCGCNGUU